GAUGAACGCUGGCGGCGUGCUUAACACAUGCAAGUCGAACGGAAAGGCGCAAGUUUCCUUGCGUCCUCGAGUGGCGAACGCGCGGGUAACACGCGCGUGAGCUGCCUUGCACCUCGGGAUAAAUCUGCGACAGUAGGGCUAAUACUGGACAGGUCCACCCCUCGGACGGUGUGCUUGAAAGUGUUUUCGGUGUGGGAUGAGCUCGCGGCCUAUCAGCUUGGUGGUGGGGUAAUGGCCUACCAAGGCGUCGACGGGUAGCCGGCCUGAGAGGGUGUACGGCCACAUUGGGACUGAGAGACGGCCCAGACGCCUACGGGGGGCAGCAGGGGGGAAGAUUGCACAAUGGGCGCAAGCCUGAUGCAGCGACGCCGCGUGGGGGAUGACGGCCUUCGGGUUGGAAACUCCUUUCGCUAGGGACGAAGCGUUUUUGUGACGGUACCGGGAGAAGAAGCACCGGCUAACUACGU
rnacentral:rRNA from 1 species